rnacentral:rRNA from 1 species
AUUGAACGCUGGCGGCAUGCUUUACACAUGCAAGUCGAACGGUAACAGGGUGCUUGCACCGCUGACGAGUGGCGAACGGGUGAGUAAUGCAUCGGAAUGUACCGUGUAAUGGGGGAUAGCUCGGCGAAAGCCGGAUUAAUACCGCAUACGCCCUGAGGGGGAAAGUGGGGGACCGAAAGGCCUCACGUUAUACGAGCAGCCGAUGUCUGAUUAGCUAGUUGGUGAGGUAAAGGCUCACCAAGGCGUCGAUCAGUAGCGGGUCUGAGAGGAUGAUCCGCCACACUGGGACUGAGACACGGCCCAGACUCCUACGGGAGGCAGCAGUGGGGAAUUUUGGACAAUGGGCGCAAGCCUGAUCCAGCCAUGCCGCGUGUCUGAAGAAGGCCUUCGGUUGUAAGGACUUUGUUCCGGGAGCGAAAUACCUAGUGGUUAAUAACCGCUGGUCGUGAGAGUACCGGAAGAAUAAGACACCGGCUAACUACGU